rnacentral:lncRNA from 1 species
ACCACUUCCAAUUCGACAGUCUUAGCCUGGUCGGUGUGACGAGUACAACACAAACGCUUUGAGGUACGGAACGCGUGCGCACGUUAUCGUCGGACGUCGGUUAAAAAAGUUUUUGUACUUUGCUUUGCUUGGAGUUUUGAGUGUGCGCGUAUUUAGUGAUCUUGUACGAGUGUGUGUAUGUUUGUGUGUGCAUGUGCGUGAACACGAGUCGAAGACGAGUAUACGAGCCAGCCUAAAAUUGCGGAAUGAGCUUUUGGCAGCACAUUAAAGAAAAGCACUUAAAUCGCCACACUAACGCCCGACAAGGAAGUGUAAAAGCAGAAAUGUUGAAAUAAAUAAUAAAAUACACAAACAAUGAAAGACACGCAACAAUUGCAACAACAUUAUUAACUGCAAUAAAAUUCAAAAACUACAAAAUUAAUUUGUAUUUGGCAAAAAUUUAAAUUAGAUUACGCAAAAAUCAAGCAGCCCGAACAGCAAAAGGAGCGGCUAUUAAAUAUUGGAUCCGCACAAUAUAUUUUUGGCAAAAUAAAAUAAAAAAUAUAAAAAACACAGAAGUUACAAAAUUCAACGGGCUACGAGUCAAACGAACACAGACUGCAAAUAUGAAGCCAUUCACACAACUUGUCUAUGCGGCACUGCAAAUAAUCGAUGACGGCGGCAUUGAGUUCUUCAAUACCAUUGUCCUGCAACCACAUUUGAAACUCAUCACCGACGCCGGUCGCGGCUAUCAUGUGCGCUGCUCGUAUAAGAGUCGUGAUGCGGCCACUAGCACGCCAAAGAAGAAGCAUGGACAACGCCGCAAAGCGAACAGCGGCAAGCAUGCGCAAAAGCCGCAAGCCUUUCGUAGCGCUGAAACGGCAGCUGUGGGGGUGGGUAGCGAUCGUCGCGAUUAUGGUCGCUCGUUGGAUAAGUAUCGUGCCGCAGGCGAUGACUUCGAUCAGGAAGACGUCUACGACGGUGACGACAGCGAUGAUGCUGUGGAUGCGGCCAACCAAGAGGACGAUAGUCUCAACGAGAUACCGAUGCCCGGUUGCCAUAUGAAAAUCUACAAUUCCGAGCAUAAAAUUGCUGAUGAUGUGAAAAUUGGUGAUCCGCUGACGAUUGUCAUCAGUAUUGACAAACAGGAGCUGUACGGUCUGCAUGUGGCCGAUUGUAUUGUGCGCGACGGUUUAGGUUGGGGUGAGCAGCGGCUGUUGGGCGAUGAUGG